GGUGGCUCAGAGGUAGAGCACUUGCCUUGCAUGCAUGAGGCCUUGGGUUCGAUUCCUCAGCACCA
rnacentral:tRNA from 1 species